GUAACUUGUUACAUGGGAACUUCGUUCUAUGAAGUAUGCUCAUGCCUACCUCUUCUUUCUCACGAAUACACAUGGCAUGCAAGUCAUUUUAAAUUAAAAUUAAAUGAGUGUGAAAGAUUAGGUCUGCCUUCCAUUUUCCACAAAAUAAUUAUUAUAAAGUCUUUUGGGUGUUUAUUUUAGCGCAAAUUUAGGACUUUAUCUGUCUGUGUGGUUGAAUAAGUACCCCCAACUCUUUACAAUAAGAUGCCUGCCUUCAUUAAAUUGUUUUCAUACAUUAUCUAAUGAUUCUUUUUUUUUGGCAUAAUCAAUACAUAGAGAAUU
rnacentral:misc_RNA from 1 species